rnacentral:rRNA from 1 species
CCUACGGGUGGCAGCAGUCGAGAAUCAUUCGCAAUGGACGAAAGUCUGACGGUGCGACGCCGCGUGGAGGAUGAAGGCCCUAGGGUCGUAAACUCCUGUCAUCAGGGAGUAAAAACUUACGUAGUAACUGACGUAGGUCUUGAUAGUACCUGAAGAGGAAGGGACGGCAAACUUCGUGCCAGCAGCCGCGGUAAUACGAAGGUCCCAAGCGUUGUUCGGAUUUACUGGGCGUAAAGAGUCUGUAGGCGGUAUGGUAAGUCAGAUGUGAAAUCCCGGGGCUCAACCCCGGAACUGCAUCCGAUACUGCCAUACUAGAGUAUUGGAGGGGAGUCUGGAAUUCUCGGUGUAGCAGUGAAAUGCGUAGAUAUCGAGAGGAACACUAGUGGCGAAGGCGAGACUCUGGACAAUUACUGACGCUGAGAGACGAAGGCCAGGGUAGCGAAAAGGAUUAGAUACCCCUGUAGUC